rnacentral:rRNA from 1 species
GACGAACGCUGGCGGCGUGCUUAACACAUGCAAGUCGAACGGAAAGGCCCUGCUUGCAGGGUACUCGAGUGGCGAACGGGUGAGUAACACGUGGGUGAUCUGCCCUGCACUUCGGGAUAAGCCUGGGAAACUGGGUCUAAUACCGGAUAGGAGCCAUCUUUAGUGUGAUGGUUGGAAAGUUUUUUCGGUGUAGGAUGAGCUCGCGGCCUAUCAGCUUGUUGGUGGGGUAAUGGCCUACCAAGGCGGCGACGGGUAGCCGGCCUGAGAGGGUGGACGGCCACAUUGGGGCUGAGGUACGGCCCAGACUCCUACGGGGGGCAGCAGUGGGGAAUAUUGCACAAUGGGCGCAAGCCUGAUGCAGCGACGCCGCGUGGGGGAUGACGGCCUUCGGGUUGUAAACUCCUUUCGCUAGGGACGAAGCUUUUUGUGACGGUACCUAGAUAAGAAGCACCGGCUAACUACGUG